AUGUGGUUUAAUUCGAAGCAACGCGAAGAACCUUACCAGGCCUUGACAUGCUAGGGAACCCGGGUGAAAGGCCUGGGGUGCCCCGCGAGGGAGCCCUAGCACAGGUGCUGCAUGGCCGUCGUCAGCUCGUGCCGUGAGGUGUUGGGUUAAGUCCCGCAACGAGCGCAACCCCGCCGUUAGUUGCCAGCGGUUCGGCCGGGCACUCUAACGGGACUGCCCGCGAAAGUGGGAGGAAGGAGGGGACGACGUCUGGUCAGCAUGGCCCUUACGGCCUGGGCGACACACGUGCUACAAUGCCCACUACAAAGCGAUGCCACCCGGCAACGGGGAGCUAAUUGCAAAAAGGUGGGCCCAGUUCGGAUUGGGGUCUGCAACCCGACCCCAUGAAGCCGGAAUCGCUAGUAAUCGCGGAUCAGCCAUGCCGCGGUGAAUACGUUCCCGGGCCUU
rnacentral:rRNA from 1 species